rnacentral:lncRNA from 1 species
CACUACAAUAAAAACGGUCUAUAGCGACACUUUUAAAUGUAGGUACAUGUCAAAAAAGUGCUGCUAGCUAAAAUUACCGACACUUUUAAAAACGGUUGCUAUAUGUGGGGUCGCUAGGUAUAUAGUGACAGUUAAAGAGUGUCGUUAUAACCUAAAAGAGUGCUGCUAAUUUACCAACACUUAUUUAAGCAUUUAGCAACCGCCGAAACUCUAUCUCGUUGGCUGUGGUAGCCGAGGAGGACGACAGAAAAGACUCUUCGUCUAGAAUUUUAAUGGAUUAAGUGAAAAGAGAAGAAAAGAUGGUAAUUAAUUUUUCUUUUUUUUUUCUUUUCUGUUUGUAAUCGGGCCAAAUGGACUGGGUGUGGUGGGUUGAGUAGAGUAAUCUUUUAUUUUUGGUUGGAUUGGGUUUUAUAUUUAGACAUUAGUAGAUGUUUUUUAAAAUUUUAGCAUAAAUGGGACACUUACUCAAAAGUGUCCCAAACAUGUGUCCCUAUAACCUAAUUGUAUUGUAGUGACUGAUGUCGGGCAUGAAUAAAGUGACAAUAUAUAUCGCUAAUGUGCGAUGUCAUAUGCUGAAUGGAUGUACGUAGUAUGUCAAAAGUGGGAUAAAUAAUGUAAGUUUAACAAAUGUCAGCAUAAAUUAUGACUGUUAUUCUGAAGUGAUGUGCGAUGUACUGAGAAAAGAUAUAUGGUAUGUAGUG